rnacentral:lncRNA from 1 species
AAGAUCAUCAAAAAGAGGACCAAGAAGUUCAUGUGGCAUCGUGAACAGUCUGAUGGAUGGAGCAGACUGUUAAGUGAAAAUUAAGUGUAACUGACAGAAACCUAGUGUUAUUGGCAGUAGGGUACAGAGAAGAUUCAAGGGCCAAAUCUUGAUGCCCAGCAUUGGGCAUAGGCAGAACAAGAAAACCAGGCACAUGCUGCCCUGUGGGUUCUGGAAGUUCCUGGUCCACAAUGUCAAGGAGCUGGAAGUGCUGCUGAUGUGCAGCAAAUCUUACUGUGCUGAGACUGCUCGCAAUGUUUCCUCCAAGAACCACAAAACCUGAGUGGAAAGAGCAGCAUAACUAGCCCCCAGAGUCUCCAACCCCAAUUCCAGGCUGCACAGCAAAGAAAAUGAAUAG